rnacentral:rRNA from 1 species
AACGCGAAGAACCUUACCUGGGCUCGAAAUGCAGAGGGCGAUAUCAGAAAUGGUAUUUUCCGCAAGGACUUCUGUAUAGGUGCUGCAUGGCUGUCGUCAGCUCGUGCCGUGAGGUGUUGGGUUAAGUCCCGCAACGAGCGCAACCCUUGUCAUUAGUUGCCAGCACGUUAUGGUGGGGACUCUAAUGAGACUGCCUAGGUUAACUAGGAGGAAGGUGAGGAUGACGUCAAGUCCGCAUGGCCUUUAUGUCCAGGGCUACACACGUGCUACAAUGGUCGGUACAGAGGGCAGCAAAGCCGCAAGGUGAAGCAAAUCCCACAAAGCCGAUCUCAGUUCAGAUUGUGGUCUGCAACUCGACCACAUGAAGUCGGAAUUGCUAGUAAUGGCGUGUCAGCAAUAGCGCCGUGAAUACGUUCCCGGGCCUUGUACACACCGGAGUA